AUUUUCUAUAUUAUAAUUGUGUUUUAUUUGUUUAUUUGCCCAAUGAUGGGCUAAAUUCAUAAGUGUUAAAUAAUAACUGAUAUAGCUUAAGUAUGAUAGGAAAAGGUAAUGACUCUUAAUGAAUAGCUUGCCUUGAAGGGGUAAAUGUUGUGGUAUGGGUGUUAGUUUAAAUAAUUUUAUAGUAAACUAAGCUUAAAUC
rnacentral:lncRNA from 1 species